UACGUAGGGUGCAAGCGUUGUCCGGAAUUAUUGGGCGUAAAAGAGCUCGUAGGCGGUUUUGUUGCGUCGGCUGUGAAAAUCCCGAGGCUCAACCUCGGGUCUGCAGUCGAUACGAGCAAACUAGAGUGUUGCAGGGGAGACUGGAAUUCCUGGUGUAGCGGUGAAAUGCGCAGAUAUCAGGAGGGAACACCGGUGGGCGAAGGCGGGUCUCUGGG
rnacentral:rRNA from 1 species